ensembl:snoRNA small nucleolar RNA, H/ACA box 14B
UUGCAUUCUUAAACCCUCUUGGUAGCGUCGCCGUAAACGCUUCCAGGAUAUGAGUGAAUGCUACAGAAACUGCAGGGGAGUCCAAAGGGCUGCGCGUCUCCUGUGGCUCAGUCUUAUUUCAUACCUACGACAUCU